rnacentral:rRNA from 1 species
UACGUAGGGGGCAAGCGUUGUCCGGAUUUAUUGGGCGUAAAGAGCGUGUAGGCGGUUUGGUAGGUCCGCUGUGAAAACUCGAGGCUCAACCUCGAGACGUCGGUUGAAACCAUCUGGCUAGAGUCCGGAAGAGGAGUGUGGAAUUCCCGGUGUAGCGGUGAAAUGCACAGAUAUCGGGAAGAACACCCGUGGCGAAGGCGGCACUCUGGGACGGUACUGACGCUGAGACGCGAAAGCGUGGGGAGCGAACAGG